GGGCGAUUAGCUCAGUUGGUUAGAGCACCUGCCUUACAAGCAGGGGGUCAUAGGUUCGAGUCCUAUAUCGUCCACCA
rnacentral:tRNA from 1 species